rnacentral:rRNA from 1 species
CGAUACGAGUUUGAUCAUGGCUCAGGAUGAACGCUGGCGGCGUGCCUAACACAUGCAAGUCGAGCGGUAUAUACUGGAACGAAACUUCGGUCUAGAGAAGGUAUAGAGAGCGGCGGACGGGUGAGUAACGCGUAGGCAACCUGCCCCAUACAGAGGGAUAGCCUCGGGAAACCGGGAUUAAAACCUCAUAAUACGAAAGCUUCACAUGUUGCUUUCGUCAAAGAUUUAUCGGUAUGGGAUGGGCCUGCGUCUGAUUAGCUAGUUGGUGAGGUAACGGCUCACCAAGGCGACGAUCAGUAGCCGACCUGAGAGGGUAAUCGGCCACAUUGGAACUGAGACACGGUCCAAACUCCUACGGGAGGCAGCAGUGGGGAAUAUUGCACAAUGGGCGAAAGCCUGAUGCAGCAACGCCGCGUGAGCGAUGAAGGCCUUUGGGUCGUAAAGCUCUGUCCUUGGGGAAGAAAAAAUGACGGUACCCAUGGAGGAAGCCCCGGCUAACUACGUG